rnacentral:rRNA from 1 species
CAGAGGGGGCAAGCGUUGUUCGGAAUUACUGGGCGUAAAGGGCGCGUAGGCGGCCUUCUAAGUCGAACGUGAAAUCCCCGGGCUCAACCCGGGACUGCGUCCGAUACUGGAAGGCUUGAAUCCGGGAGAGGGAUGUGGAAUUCCAGGUGUAGCGGUGAAAUGCGUAGAUAUCUGGAGGAACACCGGUGGCGAAGGCGACAUCCUGGACCGGUAUUGACGCUGAGGCGCGAAAGCCAGGGGAGCAAACGGGAUUAGAUACCCCGGUAGUCCUGGCCCUAAACGAUGAAUGCUUGGUGUGGCGGGUAUCGAUCCCUGCCGUGCCGAAGCUAACGCAUUAAGCAUUCCGCCUGGGGAGUACGGUCGCAAGGCUG